ensembl:snoRNA SNORA71 Small nucleolar RNA SNORA71
UCCUGUAUCGAAAGUGAUUGUGGCAUCACUGUUGCCAGAUUAUUGAUAGUACAGGAACAUCAACCUGAAGGUCUUUCCCGUGUUUGUGGGGCUCACCUUCCUUGUCAAACCCUGUAUCUUUCUCACU